GUGCAGUGCAAUGCAGUUCACAGAAGGGCAAGUGACCAGGAAGGAGGCGCCUGUGCUCUAAUGAGGAACAAAUUAGACAUGUUACUUGACUUUGUACCUUCAGCCCAGUCAUCUGAAAAACUGGGUGAGAGAGCAAGAGCAAAAUGGAAAACCAGAUGCUGCCUCCUCUGUGGGGCCCCGCAGGCUGGAUAGAAUGGCGUGGCAGGCUGCAUCUGGCCCCCGGGCCGCGUUUUGCCCACCCCCAUGCUAGCUUAUGUCUUACCCUUCUCUUCUAUUGAGCUUCAGCUUCCAGAUUUCGUCUUUGUCAAAGCAGCUUAGUAGCUGAUACUACCUUGCUGUGAAGGCAUUGAUACACUGCAAUCAAGUAACUUUUUAAUUUCCUUGAUGAUAAACUAAGCGCACUGAGCAUGUUAUGUCUCUUAUUGAAAAAUAGUGAGAGGUCUCAAAUAAUUUAUGUAGUUGCAGCUUAUUAUGGCUGCUUCAGUGGGCAAGGGACAGCUCUGAGUAUGCAGGCACAAAGGGUGGGCUUUUCAGAGACCCUAGGAAUUGAAAAAGCAGUGGCCAUUUCUGACUGUUGUAGCAGUUAGCUAAUAAGGGGGAGUCAUCAACUAUCAGUGCAGGUGACACCAGCCAGGAAGGUUGUAUAAAACAAGAGUACAGAGAUUUACAAGAUGCUGAACAAGGUGGAGGAAAUGAGAGAAGGUGGAAUCAUUCAAAAAGGAGACUUCGGAGUGGUAGGAAGAGAAAGGGAAGCAAGAAUCCAGGAAGGAGUGAUUGGUUAUGUUGAGCGUGGCAGACAGAUCAAGGAGAAUAAGAGCCCUUAAAUGUGACCAAAGGGACAUGACUUAACCUCAGAAACUGGAUUAAGAAACUGGAUUUCCAGCUGGGUACAAAAAGGAGUUUGAAGCAUUGGG